rnacentral:lncRNA from 1 species
UAUUCUUUUUUUUUUUUUUUAACUUUAAAGAAUUUAAGUUUUAUGGUGCAUGCUAAUUUUACAGAAUGGUGGAUUUCGUUAUGGCACUCGGUCAUAAUAAUAAUACUACUUCUCCUUGCUUCCCCUCCUUUCACCUGCUCCCCUCUUUCCCCUUCUUGAAUCCUAUUGGUCUCCUUUCUACUUUCAUGAUGCGUCCCCCCCGCCCCACCACAUCCACUAGCUUCCACAAUGAGAGAAACAUAUGCUACUUCCCUUUCUUGUCUCUGGCUCCCUUCUCUUAACAUGAUGUUCUCCAGUUCCCUCCAUUUUCCUGCAAAUGCUAUAAUUUCAUUCUUCUUUAUGGCUGAAUAAAUCUCCGUUGUGUGUGUGUGUAUAUAUAUAUAUCACAUUUUUCUUUUUUCAUUCAUCUGUGGAUGGACACCUAGGCUGAUUCCAUAGCCUGGCUAUUGUGAGUUGCAUUGAGAUAAACAUGAGUAUGCAUGGAUCUCUACCCUCUGCUGACUAAUUCUUUUGAGUAAACACCAAGGAGUGGUCUAGUUGCUGGAUCAUAUGGUAGUGCUAGCUUUAGUUUUUUGAGAAGUCUCCAUAUGGAUUUCCGUUGUGGCUGUGUUAAUUUACCUUCUCAUCAAUGGUGUAUACACCUUUUCUUCACAUCUUCACUGGUAUUUAUUUUUAUUUGUAUUCUUGAUGAUUGUCAUUCCCAGGCAGACCAUUUCAUACUCAUAUUCUGUGCCCUGGAGGGCUGGGUUUAGAGCAGACACUCAGUGACUACAUAGAGUAAGUGUAUGUUUACCUCAUCCAACUUAUUAUUUCUGUAAGUUUUUCUUUUUUUUUCAUGGAGAUUUUCUUUUGAGUAGAAUGAUUGGGACUAGGGGAAGAUAGCAGAAAAGCUCUCUGAUCUCCCACUGACUCUACCUCGGCUGGCAACUGUGGGCCACAGGCUUCAGUUUCUUUGCACAUUGAUCUACUCACUGUCAGAUGAAAAAUAUUCCUCUUUCAAGCAUUUUUUUAAAAAAUGUUUGACUGCUCUGGGCUGCUUCCUGGUCAGAAGAAACACAUCUGGUAGAGGACUAAU